AGCAGUAGCCGCGGUAAUACGAAGGGUGCAAGCGUUAAUCGGAAUUACUGGGCGUAAAGCGUGCGUAGGCGGUUUGUUAAGUCUGCUGUGAAAUCCCCGGGCUCAACCUGGGAAUGGCAGUGGAUACUGGCAAGCUAGAGUGUGUCAGAGGAUGGUGGAAUUCCCGGUGUAGCGGUGAAAUGCGUAGAGAUCGGGAGGAACAUCAGUGGCGAAGGCGUCCAUCUGGGACAACACUGACGCUGAGGCACGAAAGCGUGGGGAGCAAACAGGAUUAGAUACCCCAGUAGUCCCUGUCUCUUAUAC
rnacentral:rRNA from 1 species